CUCACUAUUUUCCAAAAAAAGAUGGAGAUGUUAGCUUGCCAAAAACUGAAAACAUGUAAUAAGAGCACACACCUCUUAGAAAUAAACUGCUGAUGGACUUGCACUGACCCAGGAAAGCAAUAGAUUUAUUCAUCUAGUGUUUCUCUUCAUCAGUUCACUGAAGCUGAAUUUGCGAUUAGAUGAAGCCCAGUUGUCACCUUUUAGGAAAGAAAAAAAAUACAGGUGUUGCCUGCUAGCUGAAAGUAGAGUGUUCCUGUGAAUCCUUUCGUACGCUGAAAUGGUAUAAAGUGAAGAAGAAAUUACCAUUAUUUUAAAAGCAAAAACUCUUUGGAUUUCUUCUGGUUAGCAGGAACAGGUAGGUUUCUCCUAAAAGCGAGCUGGCCUAACUCAAACUUUUGAAAAUCGGGGGUGGACGCCUAUAUUUAAAAAUUUAAGCACUUGAUAAAUUCCUCAAUUUAAAAUACUAUUAAAGUGUCCAAUAAAUCUCUAUUUAAAGUGGCAAGAUUUUACGAUGACAUAUGUAUUUAACCUUGAAUUGUAACCCCCCCUUACAA